AAAACCUAUAAAUCUCAGGAUUUGUGUUGGGCUCCGCAUCCCGUGCGUUGCCUCAAAGCCAUGGUCUAACCUGCGGACGAGCUCCUUUUGGACCUGCCGUGGUGUGGACUCUCUCUGA
rnacentral:misc_RNA from 1 species